rnacentral:rRNA from 1 species
GACGAACGCUGGCGGCGUGCUUAAUACAUGCAAGUCGAACGGAAAGGCGCUGCUCUUGUGGGUCUCUCGAGUGGCGAACGCGUGAGUAACACGUGUGUAACCUGCACUUGUCUUUGGGAUAACUUCAGGAAACUGCGGCUAAUACCGGAUAGGAGCUACUGCUGCAUGGUGGUGGUUGGAAAGUUUCGGCGGUUGUGGAUGGACUCGAGGCUUAUCAGCUUGUUGGUGGGGUAGUGGCUUACCAAGGCUGUGACGGGUAGCCGGCCUGAGAGGGUGAACGGCGACAUGGGGACUAAGGGACGGACCAGAAUGCUACGGGAGGCAGCAGUGGGGAAUAUGGCAGAAUGGGCGGAAGCCUGUUGCAGCAACGCCGGGAGCGUGAUGCCGGCCUUCGGGUUGUGAACCGCUUUCGCCGGAGACGAAGCGUGAGUGACGGUAAUUGGUCAGGAAGCACCGGCUAACUACGUG